rnacentral:sRNA from 1 species
UUCCCGCACAAAACGGGUGGAGCCCGAA